AAGAAGUGGCUAAAACAUCAAAAGACAAAAAAUAAAAUAGGUUCAGAAAUAACGAAAUGAAAAGAAGGUAUUAUGCAGUAAAGAGAACGCAGAGCUUUCAAGAAGGAACUAAUGGAAGAAAUUCCUCCAUCAAACUCUUUGAUGAUGAAAUAAUCUGCUUAGGAGUAAUGUCUCGUUGUUCGAAGAUCUUCAGGUUUUGUGCCAACCAAAUCUUCCAAAGCGUUACUGCUAUGAGGCUUUUGUGGUGAUAGCCUCCUCUUGCCUUCAUCGUUACUUCUAUCCACCAAUCCCAAACUUCCAAGAAGGUGCCAGGUUCCAUUUGGCAUCUAGGGCAUGUACUUAAAAUUGGAGAUUCUCGUCUGAAUUCGAUGAUUGACCAGGAGAGCUUUAUGAGUUCUUUCAAGAAAAAACCCUCUGCACAUAGUAAGAAAAGAUAAGGGGAGAGAAGAUCUCCUUUUUGGAGACCUCUCGUUGGCUUAAAAAAUCCUAGUGAGUGACCAUCCACAGUAACAGAGUACGACAUCGUAGUAACACACUCCUUAUCUAAUCAAUCCAUUUGUUACAAAAGCCCAAUUUCUUCAUGAUCUCCUAAACAAAAUUCCAUUCAACCCUGUCAUAUGCCUUACUUAUAUCCAAUUUAAAAGUCAUGUCGUAGUCACCAUACCUCUUGUUUUUCAAGAAAUGCAUCAGCUCAUGAGUGACUAGAACAUUGUCACUAAUCAAAAGUCCUUUCAUGAAGGCACUCUGAUUUUUGCUGAUUAUCUUCUGCAACAUUUUUUGCAUUCUAUGCACAAGAAAUUUGGAAAUGGUUUUGUAGAAAACAAAGCUUAAAUUUAUCGGGAAAAUCUGGCUCAUCGAGGCUGUGCCUGGAAUGUUCGCAAUUAAGCAUAUUUGAGUGUGGUUCAAAACCCUUAACAUUUUUCCACCCGAGAAGAAACUUGUAACUACUUGCACCAAUUCCUUCUUAAUAAUAUCCCAAAAGAAAUGGAAGAAUCUGCCUGUGAAGCUAUCUUCACCUGGGGCUGAAUAAGGAUUAAUUGAAAAAAAUGCACGCUUGAUUUCUUUUUCCGAAAUUGGCUGAGACAGAAUUAUAUUAUCUCUGUUCUCCGCCUUUGUCUCCAGACCCUCUAAUAUCACAUUUGGUUCAUCUGGAUUAGAAGUUGCAAACAAUUUUUCAAAAAAAUUUUAAGACAUCCUCCCAAUGAUGUUCGUGUCUGUGAAUUCCUGCCCUACAUCAUCUACCAAUUUUUCAAUUCUAUUUUGGUUAUUAUGCAUCCAAAAUUGAGAAUGAAGAAACUUAGUAUUCUGGUCUCCCCAUUUAUACCAUUUCACUCUUGAUUUCUCUUUCUAAUAUCGUUCCUCUUUCUCAUAUGCUUCUUGUAAAGUUGUUUCAAGGUUUAGGAUUCGACUUCUAUCUGCCUCAUGAGCUUUCAUUUUUUUCUUUCUCCAGCUUCCUUUUAGUAUCUUGAAUCAACUUUUCAGAGUUGUAGGAAUUAGUAGCUUUCCAUUGCACUAACUUGUGACGAAUAGUUCAAAGUUUAUUCGCCAAUAUGAAUAUAGCCGAACAUGUACAAGGAGUUUGCGAUGCCUCUUUAACUAUUCUUCUCACUUGUUUCUCCUCACACCACCUCUUCUGAAAGUGGAACCUGUGCUUUAUCUUCCAUUUGGAAAAUUCCAGAGUUAAAAGAAGAGGUCUAUGAUCAAAGCCAUGAUCAUCUAAAUGAAUAAUUUUUUCAUCUGGGUAUGCUGCCAUCCAAUCCUAAGAUACCAAGCAUCUAUCAAUUCUCUCCCUGAUUAAAUUACUUCCAUAUUGUUUAUUACACUAUGUAAAUUUAGGCUCUUCAAACAUGAAAUCUCUAAGGUUUCCCUCAUCAACAAAAUUUUGAAAUUCUCGUAUAGAACUUGCUGAUUUGGGCCUUCCGCCCUCUUUUUCAUGAUGAGCAAGAAUGGCAUUGAAAUCUCCAAUGAUAAGGUACAUAGAGUUAAAAGAAUUUAAACAUUGUUGUACCUUUUCAAAUUGAGCUUUCCUUUGAUUCUUUUCCUGUGUAAGUGAACUCUAAAAAUGCUCCAUUUCUUGCCACUACUUGGUUCCAGCCAGUCGAAUUGUAUGAAAACGGAUGCAGUUUUCUCAAUAUUAAUCGAAUCUCCUCCUUCCAUGCAAGCACCAAACCACCACCAACUCAUUGUGGCUCUACACAAAAUGAGUUCUUGAAACUCAGCUUCUCACACUGUGCAACAAACAAUGAGUUGUUUUUGGUUUCACAUAAAAAUAACAAAUCAGGAGAAUGAGAUCUCCUUAUCCUUUGGAUAUUGUGAACUGCUAGAAAUUUCUCCAACCCCCAGCAGUUUCACAUCAACAUCUUCAUUUGGGUUGGAGUGCCAAAUUUGGGUUGGCACUAUACCCCGUUUUAGCAACCUCCAUUCCUUGUAUCCCCUCCUAUUUUUUAUCUAGGUCUUCCUCCAAGUCAUUGUUCCUCUUCACUCCUAUCAUCAUAUUCAUCUUCGUUCCUUCCUGCAUUGCCAAAUAUUUUAUUUUGAAUCUUUUAUUUCUUGUUGCUAUGGUUUGGCUUGUACGAUGGAUAGUAAAAGACUUGUCAUGGCUUGCUGUUUGUAUAAUGUCUUCAUUCACAUUCUUCACUACUUGUACAUUCUCCCCUAAUACUCCCAUCAUCUCCCUUCCUUGAUUUAGUCGUUCAGAAUUCUCCCCGGUUCCUUCCUCGUUAUCUUCAAUGACUAUUACUUGGUCCUGUUGCUGUUGUGUUCCUUUUUUCUCCAUUGAUAGAUCACUGAAUUUUCUUAGAAGGCUAACAGGAGUAGGUUUCUUCGUUCUAUUUUCCAGUUUUCAAUUUGGUUUAUUUUUUAUGGGAUCUGAAUUCUCCUUCAACAC